AGCGGGAAAAGCUCAAGACUGAAUCUCCAUCGCUCUGCGAUGGCGAAUUGUAGUCUCGAGAAGCGUUUUCUAGGCGAGCUCAUCUCACCAAAGUUGCUUGGAACAGCAUAUCGAAGAGGGUGACAAUCCCGUGCGAGGUGAAGAUGGACUGCUGAUGAUACGCUUUCCAUGAGUCGGGUUGCUUGAGAAUGCAGCCCUAAAUGGGUGGUAAACUCCACCUAAAGCUAAAUAUUGGCACGAGACCGAUAGUGAACAAGUACCGUGAGGGAAAAAUGAAAAGAACUUUGAAAAGAGAGUUAAAAAGUACGUGAAACCGUUAAAAGGGAAACGGAUGGAGUUGGCAAUGUGCCGAUGAGAUUCAGACGAACGGACCAUCGAAUGGGCAGUGUGUGGAUUCCUGCGAACUGCAUCUGUCCUUGACGUUGGGCCUACCGUCGCAUUUCCCGUCAGUACGUGUCAGCAAGUGUUGAAACAGGGUCACAAGCUCCCUUGGAUGGUAGGUGCCACUUCGGUGUCACUGGAUAGCCUUGGGUAGCUGGGCUUUGAAUCGACAGAGGGUUUUGAAAAGCAGCCCUGUCUUUAUCAUUCGUCUUGUCGGCGGGCUUUCGACCAUGGUGGACUGCAUGCAGUGCACCUGAACUGGAGUCUGUCGAUGGGUCGUUUGUUUUGGCAGUGGCUCAUGUUGCUGGCAAGCAUAUGACUUCAUCCGA
rnacentral:rRNA from 1 species